rnacentral:rRNA from 1 species
GACAGAGGGUGCAAACGUUGUUCGGAUUUACUGGGCGUAAAGCGCGUGUAGGCGGCUUUGCAAGUCGGAUGUGAAAGCCCACGGCUCAACCGUGGAAGUGCAUCCGAAACUGCAUGGCUUGAGUCUCGGAGAGGAAGGUGGAAUGCUUGGUGUAGAGGUGAAAUUCGUAGAUAUCAAGCAGAACACCUGCGGCGAAGGCGGCCUUCUGGACGGAUGACUGACGCUGAGACGCGAAAGCGUGGGGAGCAAACAGG